CACGUAGGGUGCGAGCGUUGUCCGGAAUUAUUGGGCGUAAAGAGCUCGUAGGCGGUCUGUCGCGUCGGCUGUGAAAUCCCGAGGCUCAACCUCGGGCCUGCAGUCGAUACGGGCAAACUGGAGUGUUGCAGGGGGGACUGGAAUUCCUGGUGUAGCGGUGAAAUGCGCAGAUAUCAGGAGGAACACCGGUGGCGAAGGCGGGUCUCUGGGCAACAACUGACGCUGAGGAGCGAAAGCGUGGGGAGCGAACAGG
rnacentral:rRNA from 1 species